rnacentral:rRNA from 1 species
UACGUAGGGGGCAAGCGUUGUCCGGAUUUAUUGGGCGUAAAGAGCUCGUAGGCGGCCUGUUGCGUCCGCUGUGAAAGCCCGGGGCUUAACCCCGGGUCGGCAGUGGAUACGGGCAGGCUAGAGGUAGGUAGGGGAGAAUGGAAUUCCCGGUGUAGCGGUGAAAUGCGCAGAUAUCGGGAGGAACACCGGUGGCGAAGGCGGUUCUCUGGGCCUUACCUGACGCUGAGGAGCGAAAGCGUGGGGAGCGAACAGGAUAGAUACC